rnacentral:rRNA from 1 species
UGAUCAUGGCUCAGAUUGAACGCUGGCGGCAGGCCUAACACAUGCAAGUCGAGCGGCAGCACAGAGGAACUUGUUCCUUGGGUGGCGAGCGGCGGACGGGUGAGUAAUGCCUGGGAAAUUGCCCGGUAGAGGGGGAUAACCAUUGGAAACGAUGGCUAAUACCGCAUAACCUCGCAAGAGCAAAGCAGGGGACCUUCGGGCCUUGCGCUACCGGAUAUGCCCAGGUGGGAUUAGCUAGUUGGUGAGGUAAGGGCUCACCAAGGCGACGAUCCCUAGCUGGUCUGAGAGGAUGAUCAGCCACACUGGAACUGAGACACGGUCCAGACUCCUACGGGAGGCAGCAGUGGGGAAUAUUGCACAAUGGGCGCAAGCCUGAUGCAGCCAUGCCGCGUGUAUGAAGAAGGCCUUCGGGUU